UCCUUCUCCGCCCCUCUGUGUCAGUGGCUGGGGCCCCCGGGCCGGACCUGUGGCAGCUGGCCGGGGUGGCGGGGUUAGAGGGUUGUGGGCGCGGGCAGAGCUUCGCGGGCCGGGUCCGGCUCGGCGCUGCUGCCGCUGUCCGAGGCCUUUGGCGUCCCUCGGAGAGAGACCGCAGCGGUUCCAGGCCGCCCCGGCGCUCACCCAGGUUUGUUAAGAUGAAACGCUGCAGGUGGACCUUCUGAAGAUAAGGAGGAAGCAAAACAACAUUGCAGACUCUGAAAAAAAAAUUGGGCCUUUAGAUGCUGGUCUGGAGAGACUUCAGUAAUGGAUCAAAGGAAGAAUGAGAGUAUUGUUCCUAGUAUCACUCAAUUAGAAGAUUUUCUUACAGAACACAAUUCCAAUGUUGUUUGGCUC